GAUGAACGCUGGCGGCGUGCUUAACACAUGCAAGUCGAACGAAACACCUUAUUUGAUUUUCUUCGGAACUGAAGAUUUGGUGAUUGAGUGGCGGACGGGUGAGUAACGCGUGGGUAACCUGCCCUGUACAGGGGGAUAACAGUCAGAAAUGACUGCUAAUACCGCAUAAGACCACAGCACCGCAUGGUGCAGGGGUAAAAACUCCGGUGGUACAGGAUGGACCCGCGUCUGAUUAGCUGGUUGGUGAGGUAACGGCUCACCAAGGCGACGAUCAGUAGCCGGUUGGGGGGAGGGAACGGCCACAUUGGGACUGGGACACGGCCCAAACCCCUAGGGGGGGCAGGAGGGGGGAAUAUUGCAAAAGGGGGGAAACCCUGAUGCAGCGGCGCCGGGUGAGUGAAGAAGUAUUUCGGUAUGAAAAGCUCUAACAGCAGGGAAGAAAAGGACGGUACCGGACAAAGAAGCCCCGGCUAACUACGU
rnacentral:rRNA from 1 species